GACGAAGGGGGCUAGCGUUGUUCGGAAUUACUGGGCGUAAAGCGCGUGCAGGCGGUUGUCCAAGUUGGAUGUGAAAGCCUUGAGCUUAACUCAAGAAAUGCAUUCAGGACUGGAUGACUAGAGGACCGGAGAGGAUAGUGGAAUUCCCAGUGUAGUGGUGAAAUACGUAGAGAUUGGGAAGAACACCAGUGGCGAAGGCGGCUAUCUGGACGGUUUCUGACGCUAAGACGCGAAAGCGUGGGGAGCAAACAGG
rnacentral:rRNA from 1 species